rnacentral:rRNA from 1 species
GCACCUCGAUGUCGGCUCAUCGCAUCCUGGGGCUGUAGUCGGUCCCAAGGGUUGGGCUGUUCGCCCAUUAAAGCGGUACGCGAGCUGGGUUCAGAACGUCGUGAGACAGUUCGGUCCCUAUCCGUCGUGGGCGUAGGAAAUUUGAGAGGAGCUGUCCUUAGUACGAGAGGACCGGGAUGGACACACCGCUGGUGUACCAGUUGUCUUGCCAAAGGCACAGCUGGGUAGCUAUGUGUGGACGGGAUAAGUGCUGAAAGCAUCUAAGCAUGAAGCCCCCCUCAAGAUGAGAUUUCCCAUUGCAUAAGCAAGUAAGAUCCCUCAAAGACGAUGAGGUAGAUAGGUCCGAGGUGGAAGCACGGUGACGUGUGGAGCUGACGGAUACUAAUCGAUCGAGGACUUAACCAAAA